CCGCACCAACGCGGAAUCGAACCCUCGUCCUCUCGCUUACAACACCAGCACGCUAACCACUGCACCAUGGUGCU